rnacentral:rRNA from 1 species
AUUGAACGCUGGCGGAAUGCUUUACACAUGCAAGUCGAGCGGCAGCGCGGGGCAACCUGGCGGCGAGCGGCGAACGGGUGAGUAAUGUAUCGGAACGUACCCAGUCGUGGGGGAUAACUAUCCGAAAGGAUAGCUAAUACCGCAUACGUCCUGAGGGAGAAAGCGGGGGAUCGCAAGACCUCGCGCGAUUGGAGCGGCCGAUAUCGGAUUAGCUAGUUGGUGAGGUAAAGGCUCACCAAGGCGACGAUCCGUAGCUGGUCUGAGAGGACGACCAGCCACACUGGAACUGAGACACGGUCCAGACUCCUACGGGAGGCAGCAGUGGGGAAUUUUGGACAAUGGGGGCAACCCUGAUCCAGCCAUUCCGCGUGAGUGAAGAAGGCC